rfam:Kosmotoga pacifica strain SLHLJ1, complete genome.
CAGUGGGGAGUAAACCCACCAAGGCAAAAGCCAGAACCUUGUAGCUUGGUCAGCAAGGGAGAAGGAAACUGAACUCUUGAAGACUGACGACAAAGCCAUCAUAUGGAUGGUGAACGAGUAUCUGGACCGUAACGAAA